rnacentral:tmRNA from 1 species
UUGAUUUUUUGGGAAAAUAUGUUAUAGUAUAUCUGUUCGGUAUACCCGGACUAUGAUGUUAAACGAAAGGCGAAAUAGGUGUAGUGGACUCGGGGGCGGUACCCGACACCUCCACCAUAUCAUGGGGGUGAAACAGGAUUGACACGCAUAGUAAAGGCUUUCUCUUACAUCCGGUAUAGUAACCGCCGUUAUCGGGCUGAAAAAAAAUAAAUGCAAAUGAUAAUUUUGCUCCGGUUGCUUUGGCCGCUUAAUUGCGUCUGAAAUAACCAUCAAUUCCCGAAACAUUUGAGCGUUCGGGUGAGGCUUCCCGAAGGGCCCAGCAACAGAAC